rnacentral:lncRNA from 1 species
ACUCCAGAAACGCUUCCCACUGUUGCUGCCACCCUCUCUGGGCCGUGUUUCGGUAACUCUCCCGAGGAGUCUUCGCAGAGCUGGGAAGGCCAGGCCAGGCCUCCUGUCUGCGCACACAGCGUGUUCCCGGGGAACCUACGGGGCGGGCGCGGUGUGGAUGCCUCCCCAUCCCCGGAGCAGGGGGCUUCGGGAGGGGAAGUGCUCAGGAGGCGCCCGCCGCAGGAGGCGAGCUGUUGCCAGCAGAGGAUGUGGCUCAAGAAAAGAAAUUACCAUCCUGAUUUCAUCUUUGGAGCUACUUUGACUGCAUUGGAUUGCUGAAUUAACUUUGGACCCUGGGUAUUAACUCCUCACUGGGAAAGAUAAACCGUGGAGACUCACCACACCCACCAUCUCUUUCAACUUCCUCUGGCCUGAGGCAGAAGAGACAGAAACAGAAGAAACCAGAGCCACUGAGCUCUUGCUCCCAAGGUGCUCUGCCCGCCACUCCAGAUCUGGGGACACAGAUUCUGGGACAGCAGCUCCACAUCGGGGCCCAGGCCCUGGACCCGAGACCUGGGCAACAAUGGACGUGAAGCUGCCCAGAUUGCAGUGAUCACUGCGGCAGGACAGACGGGACUCAGACGCUCUCCCCGUCCCUGGCUCGUCACUCUGUGCCCUGGGUCCGCAGGGCCCUUCCUCGUCCUCAGCUUUGCGUUCCUGGCCGCAGGGUCACCACUGGCCCUGUGCCCUCCCCUCUUGGAGGCUGUGGUCAGUCAGUGAUGGGGACUUGGCCUGGUCUCAGGCUGAGCCCCUGGGACUCGGGCGUGCAGUGGGGGGAGUGUGUGUGCAGAAGGGGGUCAGUGCCCCUGCUCCGAGAGCUGGCGGUGAGCUCCUCGUGCCCGGGUAUGGUGGCCACCCUGAGCCUCACCUUCACUGGCCUCCAUGAUUCUGGUUGGGCUAAUUGUUUUGCUGUGGUG